ACGGAUGAGUUUUGCCGAUGCGUUUUUCGCCCAGCUUUUUGGAUGAGCUUCGGGCGCGUUUACCCGUAUCCGAGGUUGUCGGUCGUCGGGUCAAGCUCAAGAAGGCUGGCAGGGAAUGGGCUGGCCUNNNNNNNNAUAACGAGAAAACACCUUCUUUCACCGUCAAUGAUCAGAAGGGCUUCUACCACGACUUCUCGUCGGGG
rnacentral:misc_RNA from 1 species